UCCCCAAUGGCCUAUUGGCCAAGACUUUGAGCUCCCAAUGCAGGGGUCCCAGGUUCAAUUCCUGGUCAGGGAA
rnacentral:tRNA from 1 species